rnacentral:rRNA from 1 species
AGUGAACGCUGGCGGUAGGCCUAACACAUGCAAGUCGAACGGCAGCACAGUAAGAGCUUGCUCUUACGGGUGGCGAGUGGCGGACGGGUGAGGAAUACAUCGGAAUCUACUUUUUCGUGGGGGAUAACGUAGGGAAACUUACGCUAAUACCGCAUACGACCUACGGGUGAAAGCAGGGGAUCUUCGGACCUUGCGCGAUUGAAUGAGCCGAUGUCGGAUUAGCUAGUUGGCGGGGUAAAGGCCCACCAAGGCGACGAUCCGUAGCUGGUCUGAGAGGAUGAUAAGCCACACUGGGACUGAGAAAAGGUCCAGACUCCUACGGGAGGCAGAAGUGGGGAAUAUUGGACAAUGGGCGCAAUCCUGAUCCAGCCAUACCGCGUGGGUGAAGAAGGACUUCGGGUUGGAAAGCCCUUUUGUUGGGAAAGAAAAGCAGCAGGUUAAUACCCCGCUGUUCUGACGGUACCGAAAGAAUAAGCACCGGCUAACUUCGUG